rnacentral:lncRNA from 1 species
GCCGGGCCCAUGGCGGGCGCUGAGGGGGACCAGAAAUAUAGGCUGUUUCAGAGGUAGUAAAAUCUACUGAAGUGCAUUUGUUGACUAUUUGUUUAUCAUGUUUGGUUACGUGGAGAUAUCACCGUCUGAGGAGUUCAACCAUCCCACUGCAAAAAUUAUGGCUUUAUUGCUGUAGUAGCUAUAUGAAGACUCAGGUGUGAUGACAUAACUGAAGGAAAUAAAUUGUGCUUUGGUGAAAAUGACAGAGGUCCAAGAUAGGAAGGGCCAGACACAGCUGAUGGGACACUCCAAACCUGGAAUUACUGUUAAGGAUGUAAUCCUGCAAAGGCUAUGAAUUUAAAUCAUAAGAUUAAUGUAAAGUGAAUGAUCCUGCUACAAUCCAAGACACUCUUCUGUGAAACCUGGUUUUGCUGAUAUGUGUGAGGUUUGCCUGUGGAUCCAUUGCAAGUUCAUGUUUUUGAAUCCUUAUUUCUGCACAUGUCUGAGGGCUGAUCCCAAGGGGAUUAAGAAGCGAGGAAGACCUAGUUUCCGCAGAGGAAGACUAGCCAAACUCUGCAGAGGCCACUGCCACAGACUUCAAUCUCCUCUGGAUCUGUCUACAAUAUCCUUAAACCCAAAUCCAUACAAGCAUUUAGUGGAACACUUAGGAAACUGAAAAAAGUAUCACUUCCAGGCCUAUUUGUGCUGGAUACUUCGUUAACAAGUGUGUAACAAACCUGAGUGCUUGACCUGAGGAGUCUCACUGCUCUGCCUUGUGGAAGGAUUCCUACUGGAAGGCAACAGAAUCUCCUUCAAGAAUUUGGAAAUAUUUUGAGAAGACAAGACGCUGUGAAGCAAACAGAAGUUUAAGGCAGAAGGAAGGCCUGGAGGGAGGAAGCAUAGCCCUGGAAGGAGCUCGUGAUCUGUGUGUGCAGGUGACUGACAGCAGCCAUGAUUGCCAAACAAAUUGGAGAAGAGAUGAAGACAUGACUUGUGCUGAGGAUGCACUCAAAUGAAAAGGCAAUUUUCAAGUGAUCUGUGCAUAGAUGCUACUGCCAUCUCCAGAAGAAAAAAAUUAAUGCUUGAUCAGAAUAAGAAAUUCAUUAAACUCUGGCUACUGAUACUCUCCUUCAACCUAAACACCACUUCUGGAAUAGGAUAUUCAAAAUCUUCCUGUCUCCUGGAAAGUCAAUGGAGUUGGAGGCAGUAUAAUGGAAACCUCAGCUAGAGUCUGAUAUGAGUGGGAAUAUCUGUGAGCUGGAAAAUACAUCCACAAUACCCCUGGAAACUGCAUGUUUUUAUUUAAAUGGUCCUGCUGUGUUUAGUGUUAGAGCUAAAAAGGGAACCUGGUAUGAACAGAAAAUGAAGCAGAAAACUACAGUUUGGCUUUCCCAAAUCAGUGAAUGGCAAAAUCAAGAGAUUGUAAAAAGUGGAUGCUUAAAAUGUUUUGGAUUUAAUCAUGCUUUUUGUUAAGACUCACUUUUAAAAAUACACUGUUUGCUAAAAUAGCAUCUUACAUGUUCACAGACUGCAGAGCAACCUGCAAAAUUCUGACCAAUUAAUUAUUUGGUACAUUAGCAUAAGCAUACUUUCAAAGAUUUUGAUAGUUUUUGUUUUAUUUCUCAUAUCUGUAUUCACAUAAGGUCUCUGUGUUGGCAACAUGAAAAUGCUUUCUAAUUUGUGAUUAGUGCAGAGCAGCAAGAGAAGAGUUGGCAGGAAUAGCUCUUAACAAGUAAGAGAGAAGAACAUAGAAAACCCAACAGGUCAUCUGUAGCCAGAGUGUCCUGCAGCUUCAGCAUAGACUCUUAGGAGAUGCUUCCCUUCCCUCAUCCCUAAAAGCAAAGCAAACUGCUGGAAAGCUCUCCCUU